GUAAAUAUUAUCUCUUGUAUCCUGCUUCACUUAUACUGUGAAAGCUAGAUUGAUCUCCACUGUCCAAUUUUCAUAAGGGCAGUAUUGUGUCCAGAGGAGGAGUUCAAUAAGAAUGUGUUAUAACCCACAUUUUAUAAUUAAUGGUCAUUUGAAUUUAAAAAAUAAAAAAUCUUGAUGUGAAGUGAUUUGAUCUGGACAUCCAAUUCUGAAACCUAGUUCUGUUUAUAUACUAAAAAAAAAAAAAAAAAAAAGAAAGAAAGAAGUGAAGGAAGGAAGGAUGGAUGAAAGGAAGGAAGGGAGAAAGAAGAAGAAAAAAUUCACCAUUAAUUAAGAUAGUGGCUUGGUAGGUUCUGCAAAUGAGGUUAGUAUCUGAUGUAAAGAGGUAAAAGAAGCAAAACCUGUAUUUCAGAGUUGCUCAUUAAUGGAAUGUUUUCCUUGCAACAGGAGUUAUUAGUCACUGUAAGCAUUAGAAUGGGUGACAAGAGCCACUCUUAAAGAUGACAUCAGUGAUAACUUGUAUGCAUUGGUUUGCCUUUUAACCAGUUCUAUGAUAAAACCUCUAAAGAAAUAAGUUUGUUUAUGCUUGUGUGUUUUCCCCAAAAUGUUUAACUUAGCAUAUAAUGUUACCUUAUAUUUUUGAGGUAAAAGUUCUGAAAAUUACAAUAUAAUUUCAAUGUUUACUUACAGUGCCUUUUGCUCUUUAAUAUGUCAAAAUUGAAGAAGCCUAAAUCCAUUUUAUAUACAACAGAACUGAGCCUUCCUGCACAUUUCAAUAUACCCAGGAAAAUUUACAUCCCUCAGAUUCCAGAACCUCCAGAUUUCCAUAUGCAAUCUCUUCAAAUUAAACCUCAAAUUGUAUCAGGAGAACGGCCAUUCCAGAAACCACUUCCAAG
rnacentral:lncRNA from 1 species